rnacentral:lncRNA from 1 species
AUGAGGACCAUCAAGGUUUCCGUGCGGGGAGAGGAAGACUACCUGGAACGCAUCAUCUCCCCUCCAGCAGUGCCUGUACCUAAGGGCCUCCAGGCAGGCAGCGCCACCACCCCCCACAGCCCUGCAGCGCCGGCUCCGUCCUCUGCACCAGCCAAGGAGAGGGAUGCGGAGCCUGGCACCUGGGCUGCUGUGGGCGGCCUCCUGCCCGAGGACUGGGCCGCGCUGUUCAGGGAGCGCAGGGUCUCUGCGGAGAGGAGGCAAGGAGGCUGCUGGGCCUCAAGAGCAGCCCCGCUGCCAGGGCAUGGGAGGACAGCCCUGCAGCUACUUCUCAUCCCAGUGCCUCCAUGCAGGGAGCCAUCAGCACCAGCCCUGCGCCCUCCACCAGCCACACAAGCCCUGACAUGGAGGAGCUGCCCAGCACAUCCAGAGCUCUUCGGCAUGGGGGUGCUGGCAAAGUCCCAGCUGCAACCAACCCCCAGGAGCAGGAAGAGCCCCGUGAAGAGCUGGGGCAGCAGGCAGCAGCAGGUCCCUCUGCCCAGGGCUACAGGUGCAGCUCCUCCACUCCUCGCCUCAGGGGUCCCAGCAACCCUGGAAGCACAGACGGGCAGGCAGUACCCAGGACUGCCCCCUUGCCCUGCAAGAGGCUGCCUCCCCAGCACCUCUAGCAGGGCUCCUGGUGAUCUUAAAUCAAAGAACAAUAAAGUAUAUGACUAUAGCACAGAAAAAGUCUGUGUGACUCAAAAGCGUGACUCAAACAAGAGCUGGCACAGCCAUGUGCAUGCUGCUGCCUUCCCUCCCUUUUCCUGGUGCCGUCCCCAUGCCCUGCUGGUCCCCACUGUCCCUCACAUGCACGAUGGCAAGCACCUCACACUUGCAAUGGUAGAAGCAACCUUGGGAUGACUGGAAACAUCCUGUACCCCAUGCCACUGCCAGGAACACAACCACAGGUCUUGAAAAGCAAGACCUAUGGUGACAUGGAACCCCAGAAAGAAAACCGAGGAUCUCAAACAGCCUCAUCGAGACUUGAGCCAAAGAGCAUGGUAUUGAGUGGGUGUAUCACAACCCUUAUCAUGCAUCAGCCUCUGGGGAAAUAAAGCAAUAUAAUGCAUUGUUAAAGACUACA